UACGUAGGGUGCAAGCGUUAAUCGGAAUUACUGGGCGUAAAGGGCGUGCAGGCGGUCUGUUAAGUUCAGGGUGAAAGCUCCCGGCUCAACUGGGAGAGGUCCUUGGAUACUGGCAGACUUGAGGAGGGUAGAGGAGAGUGGAAUUCCCGGUGUAGUGGUGAUAUGCGUAGAUAUCGGGAGGAACACCAGUGGCGAAGGCGGCUCUCUGGGCCCUACCUGACGCUGAGACGCGAAAGCGUGGGGAGCGAACCGG
rnacentral:rRNA from 1 species